rnacentral:lncRNA from 1 species
GCAGUAAUAGUUCGCGCAUUGCCUGGGGGCCUGGGGCCUAGUUUACGUAUCAGAGCGCGAAGAGGUUCACGGGAUAGCGUCGUUUCAAAUUUUUUUGUGCUACAAAGUGCUAACCGAAUUCCAGUUCUAUUUUACAAUAUAUUUAUCACAUUUUUCUAUCCCAAACGACGGAAAAGGCAUCGGAAAGGUCUUAAAAUGUUAUUCAGACCUCACAGGUAAGAAUAUUUUAUUUUGAUUAAUUAUUUAAGUACUUUAAUUGCGAAAGAAUGUGUGAUUGUUCUUGAGUCAUUUGCCUAAAAUUCCGUUGAAUGUUUAAAUUUGCCGCGUUCAAUUUGCAUAAAAAACCUACGAAAUGUUGGUUUCUGGCAAUGAAAGAAAGAAUAAAAUAUCAAUUCGAACCAUUAUAGCAAAUUCUGUACUAAAUUACGCACUAAUGCACUAUUAACAAUUUAAUAGCAAUAAAUAUUGCCUUUGGCUGUUCGACCUUUGGCUGUUUGACCCUAGUAUAUAUUACUGUAAACAUUCGAAUGCCUUCAAAGAUAUGUUAGCAUUUUAAUAUAUGAAUAAGGAUUAGAAUUACAGAAGAAUUUAUAAAGCUUUGAAUGUAAUUUGAACAUAAUAUUUUCAGUGUUUUGAUCUUAAUAACCCAUUAUGGCCAUUAUAAAGCUUGCAAAUGUGCCCAAAUGCAUCCCUGCUGUUGCUUUACUUUGCCUAGUGCCAGACAAUUUCACUCGUCAAGGGGCCAGACAGUCUUGCAAGCCCUUAAUGAACUUCAGUUUAUAAUGUGUAACAUGUUUGUGACACAAUGCCUGAAAUGUUUGCCUUAUGUAUUUUCAGAUUAAUAUUGGUGCUGGGCUAUUGCCUGGCUCCAAAUAUUGUUCUCAACAAUCAAGGAAUUCUGGAUUGAGUUGACAAACUGGUGUUGUAAGGUAAGAAUUAACAAGAAUAAAUAGUCUGCUUUUAGUGCUUUAUAUGAAGAAAAUGACAAACUGGCCCAGCUAAGGUACUCACCCAGGAUCUGUUCAUAUGAGCCAUGCUGGCCCGUUAAACCGAGUUAGCUUGCUUUGCCGGCCCAAGUUGUUAUUUGUUUCACAUGAGGCGGGCUAGCCUGACAAGUGCUAUAAGAAAUUACCAAACAAUUUUAUAUAUGGUGGGAAAGCGAUAUUUGUUUUAAUUUUGAAAAUGGUAUUUUUAUUGAAGGAAACUGCUUCAGAAGUUUUAAUAGUUCAUUAAUGUUAUUUUUUUAAAUUCUUAUAUGCUUUCUACUGUAGAUAGAAUAAAGCAUGCGUUGUGACACAAUUGUCAAUUGCCAGUCUGGUUUGCCGGGCUGGCCGGGAAAGGCGAGAUCUUGCCUUGCUCAAACGGGAGCCCAUCAAAUUAACCAGGCCAGCCCGGUUCUCAUGUGAAUCAAAUCUCAAAAACAUAUAAAAACAAUAUACAUGUACAAGACCAGAUCUCGGCACUUGCAAGUCGGUCCAGCCAGACGAAUCAGCCUUGAUCUUGUAAACAGCCCAUGUAAGGACCUUGUAUGUAGGAAUUAUUACAUUUCUUGAUACUGCAUCAAAAAUUUAGUAAAUAUUCACAACACAAUUACAUGUGAAUCCUAAAUCUACCCCCAAUGCAGCCCAUUGUAAGGCCUGUUGGCACUGUACUCAAUUUUGGUAUCCGUAACAUGUUUACCAUGCUUGGACUACUCCUAUUCACACAGGCCGAGCAUAGAUAAAUUUGGUACAGGUACCAAGUUUAUCUGUGCCAUACUAGGCGUAAAAAAAUACCUGUGGUUCUGGUUCCCAAUCGACCCUAUUUUUUUCUGCCCACCCUAUUAUUUUUUCAAAGUGAUUGACUGUGCAACCCUAUUUUCUCCAGAUGGUUGUGGGCUGCUGCCAAAUGACAUCUGUUGUCACACUAAUUAUUGAAAAAUCCAUGAAAAAAUAUUGAAAAAAAAGUAUUUCCAACCUACCAACCCUAAUUUUUUUGCGAUAUGAAACCGGAACCACAGGUAUUUUUUUACGCCCUACUAGAUUAAUCUUGCUAUCUCAAUGCCAAACAAUUGUACAUGUCCAGGGUCCUGAUGUAUUAACCCAAUUAGUGGCAGCACUCUUCCCCUGAGUCCCUGACGACUUAAAUUGUCUGGCAUUAGACAGAGUAAAAUAAUAAAGUAGGGCGCAUCUUGGUGCAUUGGCACUUAAAGGGUUAAUGUAAUGUUACUGCACUACAUUGAUGCUAACUGUAUAAUGAAUUAAAUUAGUUAUUUAAGAGAAGACAGUCAGUUGAGUAUCAUAUUUAGUCCACAAGAUAUAUUCCCCUUUAAACUGGAACUGUUGCAUGACAGAUCAUAAAUUAAUUGACAUAAUCUACUUGGCUAACUAAUAAUUAUUAGACAGUAGUGCACAAUGCAACUAAAUGGUUAAUUUGACACAUGGGCAGAUAGUCUGAUUAACCCAUUGAGCAUGACUGCUUUCCUCUUGACAAGUAAAGUUAUCUGGUGUUAGACAGAGUAAAAUAAUAAAGUAUGAUGCAACAAAAUUUAGUGUCUGGUGAAACUUAAAGCUUGCUGAUUAAUAGUGAUUAUUGGUUAUUACUUUUUAAAAUAACAUGGGUCCAAGGUCUUUGCCAGAAGAAGUUGCGCUAGAUGGUGGUUUGCCUAAUACCAGAUGGUAGCGGGUGGUGCCCAGAUACCUAAUGGCACCAGAUAGUAGUCUACAGGUUUUUUUCUGGACUUUCUCUUGGGUCCAUUUUUGCAGAGAAGAUUGAGUUUAGCUGAACAGCUGGGGUGGCUGCACCCCCCUACCGCGGGAGGCUGACACCUAUGCUCAAUAAAUGUAGUUGAGAUGGAAUGUGUUAAAGCAGGGGCCCUAAGGGACACUAUAAACUGGUUAAAGAUGGCGAAUGCAUAGUUUUUCUUGUGUUGCAAGAUGAAUUCCUGAAACUUUGGUGAGAAGAUUGAGUUUCACAACUCAAUUCAAGAUUCAAUUUUUGGGCCCGUUUAACGGCCCUAAAAAAUCCCUGAAAAAAACCCCUGGUCUACUGGGUACAGGUCUGGAGAAACCUGUCUCUGGUUAACAUAUGUAUAUUUGUCAUACCCUGCAUCACCUUGUACAUACAAAUGAAAUAUGAACUGGCUUUGUUAUUGGUUAAAUAAAGGCUGUUUAUUACAUCCACAGUUAGUAGUCCCUUUUACACUGUAGGUUAAUGAUAAGUCUCAAGGUCAUUGUUCUGGCAUAUUUUGUAUAAAGUAAUGAUUACAUUUUCAAUAAGUAAAAUUUUCCUUUUACAGAUUCUAAGAUGAUUGAUCUUUGUUGGCAAUUGCAUGCUGUGUUUGGAACAGUAUUAAUUAAAUGUACAUGAGGAAAUCAAUGGACUUGGUGAAUGAACAAUGGUAUAGAUAAUAUUGAUUGUGAAAUGGACAAAAUGUUAAACAAAAUAUGGCUUCAGGGGAAACCAGGGUUUUUUCAGGGAUUUUUUAGGGCCCUUUAAACGGCCCCAAAAACUCAAUCUUGAAUUGAGUUUUGAAACUCAAUCUUCUCAUCAAAGUUUCAGUGCAGUAAAAAUGAAGUUGUUUGAGUUAUAAAAUGUUGUGACAUGUGGAAAUUAGUUUUCAGUUGGAAGCCCGACAAGCCAUCUUUAACCAGUUUAUAGUGUCCCUGUUUUAACACAUUCCGUCUCAAUUACAUUUAUUGAGUACAGGUGUCAGCCCACCGGUAGGGGGGGGGGGGAUGCAGCCACCCCAACUGUUCAGCUAAACUCAAUCUUCUCCGCAAAAACGGACCCAAGAGAAAAUCCUGGAAAAAACCCUGGGAGAAACUCAAUUCACUACAACACAUUGCUGUGCUAUCAGAACUACUAUAAUUUCAGUAAAUAUACAAGUUAUUUUCUUAGAAUGAGAAUUUUUUUCUUAAAC